rnacentral:tRNA from 1 species
GCCCAGGUGGCGGAAUUGGUAGACGCGCAUGGUUCAGGUCCAUGUUCUGGUAACGGUGUGUGAGUUCGAGUCUCGUUCUGGGCA